rnacentral:tRNA from 1 species
GGAAGAAUGCCGGAGUGGUCGAUCGGGGCGGUCUCGAAAACCGUUGUUUGCAAGAACCGAGGGUUCGAAUCCCUCUUCUUCCU